AGGAUGAACGCUGGCGGCGUGCCUAACACAUGCAAGUCGAGCGUGAACCCUUGGAAUGAAACUUCGGUCGAAUGAAGAGGGGGAAAGCGGCGGACGGGUGAGUAACGCGUAGGUAACCUGCCCCAUACAGAGGGAUAGCCUCGGGAAACCGGGAUUAAGACCUCAUAACACCGUUUCUUCGCAUGAAGGGAUGGUCAAAGAUUUAUCGGUAUGGGAUGGGCCUGCGUCUGAUUAGCUGGUUGGUGAGGUAACGGCUCACCAAGGCGACGAUCAGUAGCCGACCUGAGAGGGUAAUCGGCCACAUUGGAACUGAGACACGGUCCAAACUCCUACGGGAGGCAGCAGUGGGGAAUAUUGCACAAUGGGCGAAAGCCUGAUGCAGCAACGCCGCGUGAGCGAAGAAGGCCUUUGGGUCGUAAAGCUCUGUCGGGAAGGAAGAUAAUGACGGUACUUCCCGAGGAAGCCCCGGCUAACUACGUG
rnacentral:rRNA from 1 species